UACGUAGGGUGCGAGCGUUAAUCGGAAUUACUGGGCGUAAAGCGUGCGCAGGCGGUUUUGUAAGCCCAGAUGUGAAAGCCCCGGGCUCAACCUGGGAAUGGCAUUUGGGACUGCAAGGCUUGAGUGCGGCAGAGGAGACUGGAAUUCCUGGUGUAGCAGUGAAAUGCGUAGAUAUCUGGAGGAACACCGGUGGCGAAGGCGGAUCUCUGGGCCUGUCCUGGACGCUGAGGCGGCGAAAGCUAGGGAGCGAACGAGGAUUAU
rnacentral:rRNA from 1 species